AUGAACGCUGGCGGCGUGCUUAACACAUGCAAGUCGCACGGUGAAGCUCCAGCUUGCUGGAGUGGAUCAGUGGCGAACGGGUGAGUAACACGUGAGCAACCUGCCCCUGACUCUGGGAUAACAGCCGGAAACGGCUGCUAAUACCGGAUAUGCACCAUGAACGCAUGUUCUGUGGUGGGAAAGAUUUUUCGGUUGGGGAUGGGCUCGCGGCCUAUCAGCUUGUUGGUGAGGUAAUGGCUCACCAAGGCGUCGACGGGUAGCCGGCCUGAGAGGGUGACCGGCCACACUGGGACUGAGACACGGCCCAGACUCCUACGGGAGGCAGCAGUGGGGAAUAAUGCACAAUGGGCGAAAGCCUGAUGCAGCAACGCCGCGUGAGGGAUGACGGCCUUCGGGUUGUAAACCUCUUUUAGCAGGGAAGAAGCGAGAGUGACGGUACCUGCAGAAAAAGCGCCGGCUAACUACGUG
rnacentral:rRNA from 1 species